rnacentral:rRNA from 1 species
UACGUAGGGGGCUAGCGUUGUCCGGAAUCAUUGGGCGUAAAGCGCGCGUAGGCGGCCCGGUAAGUCCGCUGUAAAAGUCAAAGGCUCAACCUUUGAAUGUCAGUGGAUACUGCCGGGCUAGAGUCCGGAAGAGGCGAGUGGAACUCCUGGUGUAGCGGUGGAAUGCGCAGAUAUCAGGAAGAACACCGACGGCGAAGGCAGCUCGCUGGGACGGUACUGACGCUGAGGCGCGAAAAGCGUGGGGAGCGAACAGG